CCCUUUUGGGGUUUGGCUCCAUUUGGGGUUCAGCCCCAUUUAGGGUUUAGUGGGGGUUCAGUUUUGGCCCUAUUUGGGGCUCAGGUGUUUGGCCCCAUUUGGGGUUCAGGGCUUCACCCUAAUUUGGGGUUCGGCUCCAUUUUGGGAUUUAGGGGUUCAGUCUCAGCUCCAUUUGGGGUUCAGGGGUUUGGUUCCAUUUGAGGUUUUGGCCCUGGCCCCAUUUGGGGUUCAGGGGUUCACCCUAAUUUGGGGUUCAGCCCCAUUUGGGGUUCAGCCCCAUUUGGGG